ACUUUUCCCCAUGGAGCAGAAAGCAAGCCUGGAUUGCAGAGGGAACGGGAAAGGGACUCGUGACUUUACCUCCCUGGUCAUUUCAGGGGGUUGCUGUCACCCAUCACACUUGUGAUGAAGCUGCCAAGAUUUCCUCCUAGCUCUUGGGCAAGUCAUCACAUCUGUGUCUCUGUCUUAGGUCCCCCACUUGUGAAAUGCAGCUAUUGAUCCUUCUGCUGUCCCACCCAUGUCCUGUCCUGCCCAGUUACCAUGAGGUGUGGAAGCCACAGCAAGAGGCCAAAUCCUGACCCCCCAGAAAAGGGCUGAGCUCUCCAGGAUGUGCAGGGACACUUUGACCCUCUCUGUGGCUUCUGGCCUCCUUGGGCUCUGCAGGGGUUUCCAGGCUGCAAGUGGGGAGAACGGGCUGGGCCUGGAAGCCAGAGCUGGAGAUAUCACAGUCAGCCUGUGUGUGUGAUCUGACAGACCAGGAUUUUGGAAACACAGCUGCAGGACAGGACCUGUCCAUGGAGAGGCUGGCAUAGGGAGCCUCCAGCUCCUGARACCUGCUAUCCCACGGCAGCCCCGUGAAGACUUGCUCCCGUUGUGCAAGGGUCUCCAGCGGGAGAUGCGAGCGUUGGGACAGGACCUGAGCUGUGAAUGCACAUCGGGCCAAACACCCAUGCAGGACAGCAGGUACGGGCAUUAUCUUGUGAGCUUGUGACAGGAGACACUUGUUUUCUGUUGGACUAAAGCAGCUGUCAAACACCUAAUAGUCCUUGAGGUGUCUGAAGGCCAGAGUCCUGCCUGCAGAGACAUUAUGCUGGCUUUGCUUAGUGAAUCCAGCAUGAACCGCAAUUUGGAUAAACGGUCUAAUUUAAUUCUGGACAUUUAAAAAAAAGCAGCUGGGUUUUUGAAAUUUUUUCUGUUUCAUUCUGUAGAGUUUUCUUCCCCUGCCUGCCCUUUCCAGAAAAAACCCGUGACUGCAAGACAAAGUUUAGUCAUUCUUUGAGUCUCAGAUCAUUCUUGGCAUGAUUUUUACCCACGCUGUCUCCUCAACAGUGGUUUUCUCAGGAGGGUUUUGCAAGUGUGAGGCUUUUGUAUUGCUAGCAUCUCCA
rnacentral:lncRNA from 1 species